GGCGGCGGCGGAGGGGAAGGCGGAGGGAAAAGCGGAGCGCGGCGACACAGACGCGCGGCGCGGGCCCUCGGGGUCACGGGGGCAGGGCGAGGCCGGGCCGCUCCGUUCCGCGGCACCUGCGGAGCCCUCCGCGCGGCCCCGGCGCGGCGCUCCUCCGUCUCGGCGCCCUAACUUUGUGCUCUUUCUAUUUCCCUUUCUUUCCUCGCUCCGCGCGCUACCGCAGCCCUGGGAGCACCGCCGCGGCGGGAGCCAUCCCGCACGGAGCGGGGCUUCGGCUCCGUACCACGGUCGACGGACCGAGAGAGGGCACGGGAGCCGCGGUCGCGGCCAGCGGGCGGAGCGCAGCCGGAGCCGAGCCGCCCGCGGGUCACGGCCGCGGCCCCGCGGGGCUCCGCGGGAUCCGAAGGGCUCCGCGACCCGCGCUCCGUCCCGGUGCCGCACGCAGGAACGCGGCCGGCAGCCGCAGGUGCUGCGGAGCCGCGGUUUCAGCGGGCACAAAGCCGGGACCCCGCGGGUGGGGGAUGCUCUGCGGCUCCGUUACACGGCGCUGCCUGAGCACGACGACCCGUGCCCGAGCUCCGGGGAGGGGAAAGGCGUCCGUCCCCGGUAGAAGGGUGUGAGCGCCUUCUGUGACCCCGAGGACAAGGGCCGAGCUCCGGGCAGGGACGGGGCGCGAGGCGCAGAACGGUCCCACGUUGCUGCUGAGGUUGGAUUUCCCGAGGAACAAUAAUAGUAAUAAUAAUAAUAAUAAAAAUAAAAGCUUCCCUGCCUCCAACCUGACAAAGUAAACAGGAUUAAUUCGCCAUGUGCAAAAACAUUAAUACCGUCCUCAGCGCGGAAAUCGGAAGGGAAAGCGGUUUUCGCAGCACCCACGAUAUUAACACACGAUCGUAGCAAUGCAAAGCCACUGAUACACGCUCACACACCGCCGUGCCGCCGAUUGCUCGAGCAUUAAUGAAGAAUGCCCCGCAUUAACUAUUUGCUCUUCGAGGGAUGGAGCGGUGCAACUCUCCAUGAGCACCAUCCGCCGCUUUGCCAUUUGUUUGCGAGUGGGCUGAAGCAGAGCGGGCGAAGGGAAAAAUGAACUGAGGUUCAUUUUGCUAAAUCCUAUUUGAGACCCGAACGCCUCGCGAAGAAGGGGACAUUCUCCGCUGUCCUUCUCCGAGCCCCGUCACAAUAGAAAUGCUCUGUUUAGAAGUAAGGCUCUAUUGUUUUUAUUCCAAAUAAAUAAGCGCAUCCCUCCUGCCAUUUUACUGCAGAUGUAAAUUUAUUGUAAUGAGAGGGAGUGGAAGGAUUUAUUUUGCUAAAAUAGAGUUGGGGAUAGAGCCGGUGUAAAUCUUGGGGUUUUUUAAACAAGGAGGAAGAGAGGGAAGCUGCUUGCCUGGCAGAAAGCUGCCUUGCAGCCCUCUAAUUCUUUCUAGAUUAAAUCGCAAUAUGAAUAGAGCAUCGAACAAAUACCGAGUUUCGCUCUGAACUCAGUGGAAAGCAGUUACGUCUAACAGAAUUCAAUGAAUUCCUCUUCUCCCUCAAUGUAGUAUGUGUGUGUUUUUCUCUUCCACCACACUGAAGUUCCAUGAAUAGGGAAAGUGGCUCCUAUUGUGUGCCUCUGAACUUCCAAGUCAAUGCAAUUUUUAACCACUGGCUUGUGGUACUUUGAAAAUCACCAGGGGCUGUCAGAGUUGGGUCCUCUGAAAAAUUUACAGUGCUAAAUCAGAGCAUAUGCUGUGAGAGAGGAAAAAAAAUUGCUUAAGAUUGGAGCAAGUACAGUAUCUGGCUGCCCCCUAGUGUAAGUCUCUUAUCUGCCUAAAAUUCAACUUUAAAAGAAAAGGAUCUCUUAAAGGGAAACGACUUUUGGCUCACGUAUGCAUACGAGAAUGAAACUUCUGUACAUUUUAAUCUGAUUAAUUCCUAAGGAUUUAAAAUUAAUUGGCUUGGGCACUCCUAGACCGGACUAUAAGAUUUCUGCAUCAGGGUUCCUGCCAGCCCUGUGCCGAAUAGGAACCGUGCCUCGCAUGCGGCUGUCAGAGCAAAACACUUUUGCUGCUUAAACUCAGAUCUGCGCCUUUUGCCGUAAUAAAGCAAGGAUAAAUAAUUGCCAUAAAGCCUCCGCCGCGCCGCCAACCACACCUUCGGAGGAGACGAACUACCACAAGACAGUGUGCUUAUGGGGACAAAACAUGUGAAGACAGAGUUGAUGGAUCUGGAGCCCUGACUGCUGCCCGGCAAUGGCUCAACAUGGACUGCUCUCAUCCCGGCUGCUCUUCAACAGUACUUUGAACUGCAUGAAGACUUAAGAACCAAGCCAACAGCAAGAGCAUGACCAAGAAUCUGAGAAUCAAGCCCGCACCAAGUGCGUGACCAAGUGUUUACUCCUCUUCCAGACCAUACCUGAAACACGGCAUGAAAUUUCAUUCUCUUCUUCUGCAGGUUCCUGAUGCCAAAGGUCUGACCUUACAAUGAGCAGCACACGGGGUGAGAUCGGGCACUGCACUGAGCUUCACACACAGCUAUUUUGGUAACCAGAACUGUGUAGUCAGGAUAGUACAAGCACAAGCACAGUGAAGGAUUUAUCAACAUAUUAACUCUGUCAGUGCUGUGUCCCUGUACAGGUUCCUGUGUCUAUUUCAGAUAAUAAACUCAGGCUUGCAGAAAUCUUUGUCUGCAGAAGAGGCUCAGCCUGGCUUACUGCCACACCACUGCCCUUGUUAAUGCACAUACUUCCAGCUCUGAUGCACUGGGACCACCACUGCCGGCCAAUUUCUAGCAAAAUCUUGUUGCCUAGAUCCUGCCAACAACCAGGGAACAAAUGCAAGCCAGCAGAGAAAAUGAACGACCAGAAGUACCAGGAUCCUGCCAUCCUAUCCUCUGCUGUCAGGUUGGGGUCACAACUGCCAUUUGGAGAAGCUUCCAUGGAGAUGUGAACAGAAUAUGAAUACAAUUCUGUGUAAGUAGAUUUUUGUUCAGUUUUAGUUUAAUGCGAUGCAUCAAGUCUGUACAGAGUCUGCUGUUAAUCCCAGCCUCGUCAUGAAAAUGCAUUUGACCACUACAUGUUCAAUCCCAUAAUGCAUACCUGUGUACCACACCAUAGCAACACCCACUCCAUUUAUCUAUUAAAAUUAUUUUACCAGGUCAGCCCUUUGACAUUCACAUUUCUUUUGUAAAAGAUUCUAUAGCACACAUCAGUUGUGCUCUCUCUCUACCUUCUGAUCAGUUGGCAGAUUUUCUUAAGGCUAUUUUGACUUAUUGUAACAUUUCUCUACUUUCUUAUUUGAGUAAUAGAGGCUUUCACAAGCAUAAUAUGACCUAAAAACUCAAAUACGACUCUCAAAAACCAAAUAGAUACUCAUUAUCAUUUUCUCUUUAGUAUUUGCAAGUUCUGGGUUAUCUUCCACAACCUUUACAUGUUAGCUAGUGUUUUACCCUUUGGUAGCUUUGCUCAAUUACAGAAGGUUGUGAUAAUUGACAGAUGUGUGUUUGUAGAUUUCUUUACAGAUGAAAUCAAUGAAAUGUCCUUAAGUCUAGUAACUACUCGGUACUAGUUUAUACGGCCCUCUUUGCUCCUACUGCUGCUUUGAACCAAUUUAUUUAGUCAUUUUGACUUUACUCAGAUGCAUUCCUUCCUGCUGCAACAGCAGUUACACGGGAUGUUUGAAACCAUGCAGUCAUUUCCAUUCUGGAUUUCAUGAGGGUUUAUUCUUGUCUGAGUGGUGAAUCAUACAUACAUCCCUCUGUGGAUUCCAGGUGAGUUAGUCACACUAGAUGCUUCCAAGUAAUACACAGAAAGGUGCUGAGAAAAUGACAAGUCUCUGCCCAGUCAGAAAGCUCAGCAAAGGUAGAUUAGAGAAAAAUGCCCUUAAAUUUUUUCUAGGGGAAACCCAGGGCCAGAAAGCUUCUGCCUUUGAAGAAGCCUGACAAGCAGGGAGGUGGAGUUCUUGCACUACUGACUGACCAAGGGCUGCUCCCUGUCCUCAGAAAUAGAUCAGGAAAUAACUGAAAGUACCUGAAGAUAUCAAAAGGAUAAUUAAGUUUCAUUGUGAGAAUAAGAAGGUAAUCUGUCUAGACAAAUCUAGGGCCUAGCACUGAAAACUGUAGUAUCUGAAUAUAAAAAAUGAGUAAUUUUGAAUAAAGAUGCCUAUCAGGACUGCAAAUUCAGAGGGUAAAAAAGCAGCCUUGCUUAAUAGGCCAUCUCUCCAUCUUCCUCUGGCUCAUUUUCUUGUUCUAUUCCUUCCUUUUGUGUUCUUGCAAAAAAAAAAAAAAAAAAAAACCACCAAAAAACCCCCCACCAAAAAACACAUGUAAAAUCUGAUACUGAGAAUGCUUUAGCUUCAUUUCAACCUUUUCUUCUCAAAAGGUUUUGUUCCACUAGGAAGAUUCCCCCUAGCUCAGCCACAGUGGAGGAAGCCUUGCAGACCCCUUUGCAGACAGAACAGCUGUGUUUUGAGGGGUUCUCCAAAGCGGUCAGGACCCUGUUCUGGUGGAGCUCUCGAAAAUGCUUUUGAACUGGCAUGAGAAAUCACCUGGGACCCAGAGCAGAGCACAGGGCGCACAGGACAGUAUUUCCUCUGUGCCUUUUUUGCUGAGCAGAACUGCUGCACUAUAAACAAAUGUGAGUUUUGCCUCAUUCUUAGAUAGGGUGAGUUAUGAAAGCCCACUCCAGACAUAAUGAAUGUAUAGAUCAUUUUGACCAGAUCAUAAUCUAUGAGUAAAUAAUGUUCUCUGAAAACGUAUAGGUGAAAUAAAGAACUUGCUACUAUUGCUCUAUUGGUAUCAGGGAUUACUGAUGAGGCCAACAUAGGUCUGAGUCUCUGUGCUGGAGUUUAUAUACAAUGCAGAACUAACAACAGGGUUUGGCUAGCAAAUUCCAUCCCAGAUCGGGAUAUUCAGGGAUUAUACAGCUGCAAACAGAACCUGAAACUACAGAAUUUAUCCGUCUCCAGACUUUAUCACAAGCCCCAAACUCAGAUUGGGGCACAAAACAUUUAUAAAACUUUGCCAUUAGGUUCCCCUGAUUUUGGUAGCCAUAAUUAAUAAGCAAAUCCCAUAGCAAUUUUCAAAAGGAGCAGGACUCUGGUACACCCAGUCUAACAGCUAUGACUUCAAUGCGCAGAGUAAGCCUGUGGACACCAUGCUUAGGACCCAAUGGCUGGCUGCUAUCAUGGUCUCUGCCACAAGGGAGUUAGUUUAAAAGAAGCUGGCACUGAAGUGACAUCUGUGUGCAAUGUGCUGCCCUGUCCAGACACUGGACUCCAUGUAUUUUGCCCUAAAACUGGAGAGGAAGGCACUGGGGAAAAAAAAAAAAAAAAAAAAAAAGAAGAGGAAAAAAAUACAAGGGAAUAAAAGUACUUUUGAAAGAGAAGAAAUCUACAUUUCAAUGAAAAUCCUUUCAAGGCAUUUCAAAUAAGAGUCUGAGAGAAAUAAUUACAAAGUUUGGAGAGAAAGAACGUUAGCUUUGAUAUCUUUUUCUUCUAUGAAGCAAUUAAAAUAAGCAAUUUUUCAAAUACUAAGCAGAAAAUUACUAAUGGCUGAACCCAAAAGCUUUCAUUUCCUUCUUGGGGCCUUUAUUCUUCUAAAAAAAGACAAAAAAUGUGAAGGUGGUUUUCCAGAUAGAUUAAUGCAUAAAGCAGUCGCUAGUUGGAUGUCAUAAAAACUACAGCAGCAUAGAAUAGCUGAGAUUAAGAGCUAGAUCUAAAUCAUGCAACAGUCCAGUUAAUAUCAAUGUCUAAUUAAGAAAUGCAUAAGAAGUCUGUAAUGUUGAUUUGAUGGAGAAAAACUCUAAUAGGGUUUCUUUUGGAAUUUUCCAUUUCAAUUGCUGUGUAGACUUUUAAUGGAUGUCCUCUCCAGUCUUUGGUAUUAGCAGGAAUCAUCCUCAAAUUAAAACCAGGGCCUAAAAUGGAACACAGGUAGACAAAUUAGCUUGUCUGGGAAGCAGUCUGAAUAGCAUGACAAUGUGAGCUCAACCUGAAAUUUUAGUACAAAUAGAAGAGAACAAAUGUCUCAAAUCUGGUGUGGAAACCCUAUGUGCUUAUCGUUUAAACAAUUUAAAACCCUGUAAUUUCAAACAAUGCAAUGUAACCUGUUUCCUCACCUCCCUCAGCCUGCCAAAAUAUGCAGAAAGCCACAGACCAUUAAGAAUUAUUAAUUAGCCUUUUUAAAUUGGAAGACCUACUAUAGCCAUGUAGUCUUUCUGUAGCCAUGCAUGUUACUGUCACCUCAAAGUGGGCUCUUCUUGGCUUGUAACAGCAUUCAGAACACAUGGCUCCCUAUCACCAUCAACGCUGCAAUUAGUCUCCCACUCCCUUCUGGUUAACUAACACACUCAAACUUUGAGCAAAAUGAAACCUGUGGCAUCUGUCCCAGAUUAUCCAGGAUGUUUGGUCUCCAGGUAUGAAAGGAGAACUGGUUUUACAUUGUGUGUCACAGAUACCCUGAAGUUGUUAAGUUACAAGCAGUGUAACUGUUAGCACGCAUAAAUCCUCACAGCAAAGAGGGAGAAAGCAUAGCACUGGCUUAAAGCAGCAGUGUAUUUGUUAUCUCCACUUUGUUGUUGACCCAGCAAAUCCGGGGGGAAUUAUCUCAAGAAUCCAGGAAGACAGCAAACUCAAAAUAAGCCCUAUGACCUAAGGAGCAAGCACACUGGGGAGUCAUUUUUAAGUUCAUUAGAGCACGUUAAAAUACAAUACACUGACCAUGGUAAAGGCAAAGCAUAUUAUUCCUUCUGCCCACAUAUUUCUUUCAAGCACUAAAUCCAUCUAGAGUCCUUUCAGAAUCAUACCAUAAAGCCUUGCCACUUCACUUUACAAACAAAGCGGAAAAGACCAGAGGUAAAAUCAGAACAACAGUGAAAGUUUGGCACUUCCAAAUUGCUGUCACUGCCUGAAAUGUCACAGUCUAAAUCCUUAUCUGGCAUUUUUCCAUUGAUCAAUGAGGCACAGAUGCUUCAUAUUAAAAAGCAAUACCACGGGACUGGGGAUGCCCCAAGGAUUGUUCUCCUUGAACAAGGGAGCUAUGACAUUCUCAGCACGGCACCCACCCUCUGAAUGAUGAGGCUCUAAUGAUGUGACAUUCAGCUCCAGAAGAGGAGUCUGAUUUUCCACAAAUAAUUCCGCUUGACUGUAUGACUGGGGAACUACCAGGUUUUCAAAAUAAAAUGGAGCACAGCUUUUGCAGGAUGCUUUCCCUGCAAGCCUGGAUUUAUGUAAUACAUAGGAAAUAAGAGUAUGAAGCUGGCUGCCUUCUGCAAAUAAUACACAACAGAAAAAAUAAACAAACCUUAACUUGUCCAACACACUUGAGAGCCACAAAUUUCCUUGCUGUUUUACUGAAGGAGAGGACAACUUCUUUCCUCCAUAAAACUAUCCUUUCAGACAUUACUACAGUCAUGACCUCACUGUGGUUCCUGGAUUCUUUCUGAAAAAAUGAAAUGAAUAAUACACCAGUGAUCUCAUCAAAGCAUAAAGGACAUCUUAUACAGGAGGAGAAAGAAUAUCUGGAGAACCUCAGUGCUCCAUCUGCAUAAAGACAGUAGAAAAAGGACUGUAACAUUGGAGAGAAUGAAAGAUUCAAUGAUGGAGAUGCAUUUUUCCAUCUUAUAAACAAUUAGGAUUCAUUUUACCUAUCACAUUGGCCAUCCUUCUAGCUGUCCCUACAGGUGUUCUUUUUUUCUUGUGCCUUUAUCAAUACCUUCUCUUGUCUCUUCUGUGCUUUUCGUACAUGUUUUAACAUACUUGGUUAGUCUUUGAAUCAUACACACUAGUGUUCUCAACAACACUCAAAUAUAUUUUUAGGAUACAACACAGUGCUGUUAUACAAAUAUCCACAAACUUCAUUCAUAGCUUAGAUAAUUCUGGCUAAGGACAUGUUUCUUCAUGUUCAUGUAGUUCUGAGGCCAAGGAGUCCUGGGUUAUGGGAGCUCCCAUGUAUUUUGUGGCCCUGGUACCUUCUGGCAGUAAUCGGGAGGGCAGGCAGGGAGAGAUGCUUUGUUUUCUUUGGCUGGACCAUCUAUGAAAGAGUAUUGGUAACUGACAGUUUCACCACAUUUUUCAAGCUGAGGCUGAAAACAAGAAAAUCUGCAGAAUCCGAGUACAGCAUUCAAGACGCAAUAUCAUCUCUUGCACCCACAGGUGCACCUCACUCUGGCCUGAGAUCACAUGUUAAGUGAUGCAACGACAAACUGGUUUCCUCACGCCAGAGCUGAAUGUCACAUAGCUGCCCUGUGCUUGUGUCAGUGCUGUCAGUGCUCUGCCACAUCUCUGCUCCUCUAGGAGCAUAGUGACAGCACAACCCUUUUCCUAUCCCAUCACCAUUGCCCACUUCUUGAUUGCUGCAGGCUUGGCAGGAGUAGAUGAACCUAUUCCUUCCUACCUGCGGCACUGCUCAGCCAGGAAAAAGCCGUGGGGCUUUCCCUGCAGGGGAAAGUUUUAGCCAAACCAUCACUUCUGCCAAAAGAAUGAGGAAUCCCUUGAGGUAGGCUUCCUUGGAUGCAAGUAAUUAUUCGGGCUAUAGCAGGGUUAUAGCUAAUACAUCUGAGUCACAAUGUGGAUUUGCAAUUUACCUGUUAAAAGUAACUAGUUUAUGUCCAAAAUACAGAUUUUAUUCCUAACACCACUUACAUCUUCACAACUUCUACAUGAGCUGUAGAUGUGACAAGCUGAGUGACUGAGAUUUCUCUCACAGUCAGCAGGAGAGCAACAUGUAAAAUACUUGUUUUUCAGAGGUGAGGUCACCAGCAUCCCCACUGGCACAUCUGCUUUGCUGAAUAAAAGUCCAGAGAUUUGCAAAACUCCAACAUGCAUAAAUUGAGUUGAGUUCACUGGGCCCACACAAGAUAUCAUUUGAUCUACUCAUUUAAUAGCAGUUCAGUGUUUACUCUCUAUACAAAAUAUUUUUCUGUUACAUAAGCCUUUUACAUUUUUACAACAGCCAGCAUCUCACCAGUCCUCAUACGUGGGUACUUGUAUAUUAAUAAAGGACAAAAAGCUAAGAGAAGUUACAAGAGAACUCAGGAUACCAGUAGGUCAAAAAAGAGCCUAAAUACAUUCAGUGGCUUCAGAAAAAUGCUAAUAUCCAAUAUUUCCCUGCUUAGACUGUGCAGCUGUUGAGAUGAGACUGCCUGAGCAGAGCUUCCAGAGGGACAUCCCUGAAGCCUUGCACAGAGCCAUCCACAUUUGGCUUUAAUGGUUUCAAGUAUUUCUACUACUUUUUUUUUUUCCCCACUCCUCAGAAAAAAAAUCUUCUGAUUGUAACACGUUUGCACUUGAUGCCUUAGGUAGUGGUUCUUGCUCUGUGACAUCUUACACAGUACUUUCUGCCUUAUACAGCAUACAUGAGAUAAGUGCUAGUCAAAUACAUCCUAAUUCUUUCUUGAUUUCAUCUGAUCUAGAAAUAACUUUUAGAUAUCUGCAAUAAAGAUUUCCAAAGACUUCUUUUGUGUGCACAUCUUCAUCUGUUGGGUUUGGCCUUUCAAUGUCAUCAUGAGUCUUACAGGAUACUUGCAACACAUGCAUCCAAACAUCGUUCAUUGUUAUGCAUUGUGCUUCCCCUCACCCCCCUGUUGACUAUUCCUAAAGUAUUUUUUUGGGAUAGCAGAAGCAAAAUUGAUCAUAAUAAUGCAAGUGAGAAAACAGGGAACAGAUGACCAGCAAUAUAACUAUUUAAAUGGUUUUAGACCUGCCAUUUCCAGAGCAACUUGAUUUGAAUUAAAAACCAAGUGAUUUCAAAAGUCCAUUUAAUACUGGGAAAACUACGAGCACAUUUCAUCUACAUCCAAGAUCCCAGCCAUGAGAUUACAUAUCUCAAAACAGACACCUCCUUAAAGAGGCUGUUUAAAUAAUAAAACUUCUUGUAAUAAUCAGAAGAGAUGCACGGAGGAGAGGAAGCACCUGCUUCACAAUGAAAAGUUUGAUUUUGGAAAAGGCUCAUUAGGUUAAAGGAACUGUACUGUAGCAGACAGCAUGGCUUAUGCUGAUCUUCAUGGAAGUGACUAUUUAAUUAAGAAGUAGACAUCUCAGUUUUCCCCUGAAACUUACACUAGAAAUUCAGUACAAAGGUUUGCUGCAUUUUAUCAGGUUGACUUCAUUACCUUCAGGAGUAAUAGAAAUUGCAUUUGUUUCCCUGGGCUGUGGAAUACAGAGAAACCCAUGAAAAGAAAGAGGAAAAAUAAGAGAUGCUGAUUUUCUUUGGCUGAAAUAAAAAAAAUAGGGCUUUGAGAACAUUUGAGUAUAGUAUGCCCUGGAUCUUUAGGAGAAGCUCAAAGAAACAAUUUCAAAGAAACGUUUUCUAAAUGCUUGUCUGUUAGUUUAUUUUCAUUUUGUGUUGCCACGUAUAAUUACAAGAAACUUACAGAAGACCCAUAAGACUUACAGUCUGUUAGAAAUGCCUUUUCCAAGAUUAUACUGUAGGCUAUUACUUCAGCCCGCUGGGUAUCAUGUGUAGGCAAGGUGUAAGAUUAGGCACAUGAAUAUUUCUGUCUACCACUUGCGUGCUGAGACAAUACCAGCUCACACAUUCUUCUGUCAUUGGUCCUUAUUCCAUCGAGGAUAUUCUUAAUUACCAGCAAGACAACUGGGUAAUAUCAUAUAAAGCAUCACAGCAUCAUUCCUGUGAUGAUUUACACCUGCUAAGAGCCUGAUUAUUGGAUUUUACCAUAUAGUAAGCUCAGAAGGUAGACAAUAUUUUUCUACAGGACACUGUUUCUAUUUUUAAGAUAACUACUCUCCUUUUUCCAAUUCAUUGGCACAAUUCUCUUAAAAGAUAGAAUGUUUGUACACACAGACACUGUUUCUGAACAUCUGAGCUGCCUUGAAAAACUCAGAGUGCUCCUAUAGUAGUUUAAAUCAACUCAAGUCUAAACACUGAAACACUGAAUCUGACAACGUGCAUGAGGGUCAUGGGGAGCACAUCCCUUCUUGGGGAUUCUAAUGAACACAAAAUAAAAUACACAGAAAUAAAAAAAAACCAAGUUCACUACAUCCCUUGUUCCACUUUGAGAUUAUGGUUUUAUAUGGCUUUUAUUUGUAUUUAUAUAUGUAUUUAUACACAACCCUUGCAGAAUUACUUCAAAAUCUUUGGGAAUGAUGGAAAUUCUGUUGAUUCCAGCCUCUGCUUUCCAUUAUGGAAGAUGUUUGUGCAACAGGUUUGCUGAAGAUGGAACACUAAUGAAAUGGGUAAUUUUAUAAACGCAUUGGGGAGGGUAAGUGUCCAACAGAAAAGAAGUCAAGCAGAAGCAGAAAUUAGUCUGCUUGAAACAAACAAACUAAGGAAUGCCUGCUAAAGAGUCAUGAAUUUCUUUAGAACACUUUUUUUCCCCUAAAUCACCUACAGAAACUCUGCAGCUGAAGAUGUUUUGAUAGCAGUUAUGAUCAGAACACCAGCACUUCUCAUACGUGAAAUACAACAUUGGGAAGGAUUUUUUCGCUCCUCAAAUCACUCUUCUGAGGCUUUAUAUCAAUUUCAAGCAAUUUGCCUGGCCAUUUCUAUGAUAAAAUAGGUGUUUUUAUCCAUUUAGAAGAGCAAUAAAACUAAGGAAAAUUCAGGCAGAACAUGCUCUUUCUUUAAAGCUUCAACUCAUAGUAAGAAUCUGGUUUGUGCUGUACUUCUCUCAUGAACUCAACUUUCCAUAGUGCAUUAAGUGUUGUAAUAAUGCAAAUCAAAUACAAAUUUUAAUAACUCCUUCCAUUAAAAUGAUCUAUUAAAGUUUUAAGAGUCCAACACUUAUGAGCAUUAUUCUAAUUGCAUGAUUUUGCUCGGGGCAGGUUUUACAGAUCUGCCUGAUCAUUGGAUAUUCGCACAUUUAGGAUUAUUUUAAAUUAAUUUUUGGAAGAGUUUCAGUCUCAGUAGCAACAGUUGUUUAAUAGUUGUCUUGUGGGUAACUACGCAUCUGCUUCCACACGGGAAAAAAAACUACAUACAUUUAGAACUCUGGGAAAGGAGGUGGCGGAGGUUUAUAGAAUGACGAGCAAUAUGAAGAACAUUCUGAAGAUGUGUGCUCACUUCAGUGCAAGGAGCAAAAGAGGCUUCAGAAGUAAUAUACAUGUUAGGCAACACAGUCAAAUUGUGGUAUUCUCCCACAGAACACCAACAGAUAUAAUCAUAUGAAGAAAAGCUUUAGAAUUCAAUGAGUGCACUCUGUUGAUACCAUUCACCUUUCUCGUUUCAUGCAACUUGUAGGAUGGAUUUCUAACAGAAGGAUGUGCAGUGGAACUCGCACACACUGGCUUAGAAAGUGGGCAAUGCUUUGCAAAGCUUCCUAACAUGUUUAUGUUAACAGAAAUAAGUCAGAUCAGUGCUGAGGGACAAAGUUCGGUAAUUCCUCCUCAGAAUCCAUCCCAAACAAAACCACUGUGAGAUAUUACAUGAUAUAUAUGGUCUGUGUCUGAGGUCUUCCAUGAGAACUUUGUAUGGGAUAAUAAUGCCAAACACGCAAAAAGGGUUGGAGAGAACAAAUCAGUUUUCAAGAGGCUUCCCAACUAAAAAGAAGUUAAAGAUAUUUCAAAAUAAUGUAAAGUGUCUCAGUAGAUACUAUUCUAAAUUAUCAUUGGCUUUGAAAUAUGCUUUGGUUUAAAAUUUUAAUUUCUAUACGAAAGCAAAAAAAAAAAAAAGAAAUAUUUUGAGAUUACUGAAGAAAAUAAUUUGGUGCUUAUUCCGUUCCUUUUAAAUGCAUUGGUUAGUCACAGAAUUAGUUGAAAAAAAAUGAAAUCUUAAGAACUCCCAAAGGAUAGGAUAAAGUAUUUCUCUGCUAGUUAUACAAAAUGAGAGAAAAAUCUUAUGUCACUCUCAUUAGCACAUAGAUUUAGUGAAAUGCUCACAUUCUCAUAGAGGCACAUACUGGAACUCAGGGUUUGGGUUUCCUUCCAAGUGUGAUGCUUACACACGGUAAGUGAUAACUCUUUCUUUAUUAGAUACUGUCAUCUACAUUUCUAGAGAAAUACCUGGAGGUGUUCCAGCCUCCACAUGGGUGAUGGCCUUUUUUUCCUUAUGGAACAGAAUCCUAGAAUCCUUUGAAUUGGAAGGGGCCCUUAAAGGUCACCUAGCCCAACUCACAUUCAAUGAACACGGACAUCUGCAACUCGAUCAGGGGGCCUUGAGCCCAGUCCAGCCUGACCCUGAGUGCCUUUGAGGACAGGGCAUCAUUUUUCCUACACUGCCACAAACAGGACAGGAAGUCUGAGCAGGGAAUUUCAGCCACUUUUAGUUCACAGGCUAACGUGUUAAAACAAAAAUGAUGAUUAACUCUUAAGUAAUUUAGAAGUGGGCUAUCCAAGGUGAAAGAGCCCUAGAUGCCAGGAAGGGUUAGGCUUUGGGCAGGGGACAAGGCAGCCAACACAGGGAUGGUGUGCACAGCCAUACUGUGCAAUGAUAAUGGUGUGGGGCAGAAACAUCCCAAGGUGUCUGCCCAAUUUGUCAGGAAUUUCUCCUCUGAACUAUUACCUCCAGAUCUCCCUAGAACACCCUCGGUCCUUUUAUCUCUUGAGCUAUCUCAGAGUUUACUGCCUGCCUAUCGCCUUGGCUGAACUACACUAAUAGUGAACUAAUUACAUAUGAACGCUCUAAUUUGCUUUAUGUCUUUCUCAAAAAACCACACGUGUGCAGGCAUGCACACAAGUAAACUUUUGCUCAUGCUAUAAAAUUGCAGCACGAUGUAGAAUCAGUGCAGCAGCCCCAACAUUACAAAACAUCACAUGCUCACUGCCCAUCUACUGCUUGUCCCUAUCAGGCCACCACCAGUGCUUGUCAUUCCUGAUCUGCGACAUCGCCUGCUGCUCCAGACCAGAAAAGGGAGCAAAGAAGAGAAAUACGUGUUUGUCAUUGAACUGAACUGAGAAGAAGGAAGACGAGAACGAUAAGAUCAUUGCCUGCAGCACUUUGUUUAUGAGAACAUCCUUCCAGUGAUAUAUGCCUGCACCAGGUGAAAGUAUUGUGUCACCCCUAACAUAUUUUAAAUGCCAGGGCUGUCAUGCAAGAAGACAAUGAUGAACAAGUUUAAACAGAAUAUGGUAUUGUAGCCAUGUGCAGUGUUACCUUUUAAAGGUUUGCAUCAGUAGCAUUUCUUAACAAAACAUUUACAAACUGUUACAUUCCCCUACAGAACCUCUUUCAUAUUCCCAAUGAAAUUACUUCUAUUGUAGAUGAAGUAUGCGUAACAUAAUACACAUAUUAAACAAAUCAGGCCACUUUCUCA